rnacentral:rRNA from 1 species
UACGUAGGGGGCGAGCGUUACCCGGAUUUACUGGGCGUAAAGGGGGCGUAGGCGGCCGUGAAAGUCCGGUGUGAAAACUCACGGCUCAACCGUGGGACUGCGCUGGAAACUACACGGCUUGAGGACGGUAGAGGGAGACGGAACUGCUGGUGUAGGGGUGAAAUCCGUAGAUAUCAGCAGGAACGCCGGUGGGGAAGCCGGUCUCCUGGGCCGCUCCUGACGCUGAGGCCCGAAAGCUAGGGGAGCAAACCGG